rnacentral:rRNA from 1 species
GUGGGGAAUCUUGCGCAAUGGGCGAAAGCCUGACGCAGCAACGCCGCGUGCGGGAUGAAGGCCUUCGGGUUGUAAACCGCUUUCAGCAGGAACGAAAAUGACGGUACCUGCAGAAGAAGCACCGGCCAACUACGUGCCAGCAGCCGCGGUAAUACGUAGGGUGCAAGCGUUGUCCGGAUUUAUUGGGCGUAAAGAGCUCGUAGGCGGUUUGGCAAGUCGGGUGUGAAAACUUCAGGCUCAACCUGGAGAUGCCACCCGAGACUGCUAUGACUGGAGUCUGGUAGGGGAGCACGGAAUUCCUGGUGUAGCGGUGAAAUGCGCAGAUAUCAGGAGGAACACCGGUGGCGAAGGCGGUGCUCUGGGCCAGUACUGACGCUGAGGAGCGAAAGCGUGGGGAGCAAACAGGAUUAGAAACCCUAGUAGUCC